CUCUCCGUCCCCGACGGAUCGCUGGGCAGCCCAGGGGCCGGCAGAGGGCUCGGCCUCCUUUGGCGCGUCCGCCAGGCAUCCGCCGCUUCCUGAACCCUGAGCGCGCGCGCGCCCUUCGAGAGGACUGGCGUCUUAACCGGAGCUAAACUGUCUUGAAAAAGCAAAACAUUGCACAGAAUGGGAUCUUCUGCUCUGCUAUGCCAUCAGUGUUCUUUAUCCAGUCUCAUCCCUCAACUUCCUGUCAGGAGCAGAUCUUUGUUUGCCAGUAAUAAGAAUGGGAAGAGAGUGAACAAAGAGACCUGUGGAGAUAGGAUGGCAAGCCCAGAGGCUGUAUCCUUGAUCAGUGCUUUUGAAGUUUUUAAAGGGAACUGGCGAGGUCUUCAGGUCGACAGCUGGCAAGCCAUUCUACACAGUCCAUACAGCCCGAGAUAUUCUUACAUAUCAACAAGUAAUGCAGUUAAAGGCUAUCAUUGAAGAAAAGGAAAUCCAGGGAAAUAUCUGCAAGUUUUAGCAAAGUGGUACAUCUUCAGAAAAAAGCAUGUCCAUCCACCAAGUGAAGAUCCAAAGUAAAAGAUGGCCUCCAGGGCUGACAGAAGAGACUGGCCUUUUAUCAGCUCAAGAAUGCCUGAAUGAUGCUAGAAGAUGCCACCAGUCACUAGUGGGGAAAUUUAUUUAUUUAAUAUUUUUUUUACACCACCCUGCUCCCAAUGACUCUGGAUGGUUUUUAUAUAAAAAAAAUAUUCUGAACAACAGAGUGAUAACAACAACAACAACAACAACAACAACAACAACAACACGCCCUACCUGUAUUUGAAAAGUUGUGGGAACAUAAAAUGGAAAAAGUUGUAGAAAAUGAGACAGUGAAGAUCUUGUGGGACUUUCAAAUACAGACAGAUCAUCAUUUGGAACACAACACGCUAGUUAUCAUAGUUAUUGUGGGCCGAAGCAUACAAUUUAUUGAUAUUGCUGUACCAGGCGAGUCGAAGAAAAAGAACUGGAAAAAAUCAUGAAAUAUCGUGACCUGGCCAUAGAAACUAUACAGUUAUGGAUGAAACAUGUAACAGUGAUACCCCAUUGUCAUCAGGGCCCUUGGUACCAUGUCCAAGAAUUUUACAAAACACAUCAAGAAAUUGCAGCUUCCUGCAAUAACACCAGUGGAACUGCAAAAAACUGUGUUACUUGGAACAUUGUAUAUUUUAAGAAGAUACUUGGUUGACACCUAGGAUGCUGGCAGCAACCAGUAUCAACCAUUAGCAAGUCAAUCAUAUUUAUGAUACAUUUAAAUGUUCAGUUGACUGAGUUUCAUGUUUAAUGAAUAAAAGAGAUAAUAAUAAUAAUAAAACAAGGAACAGUCAAUGGCAAAAGCCGGCAACAUCAAGAUGCAAACCCAUACUACCCAGAAGGGAGGUUCAAUCAGUCUUAUCAAAGGCCUAUGUUAUGAACCAAGUCUUCAAGCCUCUCAACAAGAUGAGUGCCAUCUGGAUUUCAGGAGAAGUCUUAUUCUAGAGAACAGACACUUCACUAGAAAAGGUAUAGUGAAUGGAUCAAAACAAAUUACAUUGUUGUUGGUGAUGGUGAUGAACAUGGCACCAAUAGAUUCUCUCUGCUUUAUCUUCAUAACAACCUAUCCAGAGGAUUAGUCUGAGAAAAGGGAUAUUUCAGGAUUACUUCCUAAGCUUCUUGGCCAAAAUCCAGUCUUCGAAAUCCCAAUUCAAUAUGCAGAAUACUGUGCUAUAUUACCUCUUAAUUUAGAUUAGUAUUUCUCAAACCUGGCAGCUUAAAAUGUGUGGCCUUGAACACCCAAGAUUCCCCAGCCAGCCAUAAUUUACAGUUCCAAGACAUUACAAUAGGACUUUGACAGCAUCACUUGACUGGCCAGGGGUUCAAAUGUUCAACUGGGUAUCACUGGCAUAUUGAUGACACUGGACCUUAUGUUGUUGAAUGACGUUGCCUAGCAACUUCAGGUAGAUGCUGAAUAAGAGUGGUGAGAUUGUUCAGCCUUGAAGAACCUCGUACUACAGGGGUCUCAAACUCAAUUUCUCCUCCUGCCAACAUCAACUGUAACUGAGCACAAAGAUAGGAAAAGAAACACUGUAACACUGUGCCCCCCCCCAACCCCUGUAGUCAGUCUAAGAUACAAUGGUCAAUGAUAUCAAAAGUUGCUGAAAGGUCAUGAAAAGUCUGGAUAACUGCAGCAUCCCAGGGGAGGGUUCUACUUACCUUUACUACCAGUUCGCAACCGGAUCGCGCAUGAGGGCUUGCUUUGCUCUCGCGCACGCCUUGCUUCUGCGCAUGCACAGAUAGCCGAUGAUGACAUCUGGGGCGGUGGGCAGAGCCUCUCACUGGUUUUACUACCGGUUCUUGUGUACCGGUCCAAACUGGGGGCAACCCACCACUGCAGCAUCCCCAUCUAGGCCCUGACAAAAAAUAUCCUUAAGUGUGAACAAUGCUAUACUUAGGCCUAAACCGUUUUUUAAAGAUAAUCUGCUUCUUUCUGAAAAUUUCCAACAUUUUCCACAAUCUUCCUCCAAAAUGGGAGUUUGAAAAAUGAUCAGAAAUUAGCCAAUAGAAUUGGGUUUGGUGGUGAUUCUUAAGAAGGCUUUAUAUUUCUACCUUCAAGGCAGAUGGAACUACUCUCUUACCUAAGGAUGAGUUCAUCAUUGCUUAGACCAAACUACAAAUCAUCUCCCAGAAGGCCUUGAACAACCAGGUAGCCCUUGACUUUAAAACAAACCUACCUUGGAGUUACUUAUGGCUACUUACAGAUGGUUACUUACAGAUUUGAAGUUCUGAUGAUUGCCCCCCACCCAGCCUCUGUGGGCACAUGACCAGACUUUGGGUGUUUGGCAAUGAGGCUGCAUUUAUGGCUGUUUGCAGCAUCCUGAGGUCACAUAACUGUGUUUUCCAAUGUUUUUGCCAAAAGCCAGUAUGUACUUCUAGGUUUCAGCAAAACUGCACCCACUGGUUUGCUUAACAACUGUGAUGUUUAAUGAUUGCUGUGUUCAGGCUCCAUUACAAUCAUAAGUUGAGGACCACAUGUAUUCUAACAUAUUGGUUGCUAGAUUUACAGUCCUUGGGAUACUGUCUCCUUCAAGAUUUACAGAUUCAAAUAAUAUGGCAAGACUCUCUCCCUCAGCCAGCCAGACUCCAGCUCAGAGAAGAUUUGAGUGAUUUUAUUUGACAGAUACCUAGAAUAAUCCUCAGAGAAACCCUGUAGACUGGCUCUUUUGAAGGGGGAAAAAAAAACCCAGUCAUUUUGAACACCACUGGCCACUUACCUACAAAUGUAGUAAGAGCAGAAAAAUAAUUAUAUUUUUCCAUUCUUAUUGCCGUGUAUCAUUUCCAGUAUUGGUUCACUCCAAUGGCCCUCUAAACCUUGUUUUCUGUGCUACAUCUUCCAGCACAUCUUGGUAAAUCAGAGAAUCUUCUGAGAUCAUCGUUCAGAAAAAAUCCACACAGGAACAAUCGAAUUCAAAGCACAUUUUCUGCAAAUGAUCUGCCUGUCAGGAAAAAGCCCAAGGUUUCUCUGAAACUCAAUGGGGUGGAUUAGUGUCUGGGCAGACUGAUAGGUCCAGCUUCCAUGCCUGAGAGGGAAUAGUACUGGAAAUCUCAAAGGUGAUUAGGAAUGGAUAUGGCCAUAACAAAGGACAGAUUUUAGUGUCUUCUGCUCUCAGAUUAUUUUGCAAUUGCCUUGAGACAAAAAGCAGAUCCAAUUUCUCUCUGUAUCCAGGUCUUACUUUGGUUAUGGAUGAUCCCUCCCACAUUCCUCCCGUCAAUUUUUUAAAAAUGCACAUGCUGUUCCAUUAUAUUUAUCUUAUUAAUUUGCAUUCUGUUCCAUAGCUUACUUCAGUGUGAAAUAGUACAAAAUUGGAUACGAGAAAUAAACCACAAAUAACACAAGGUAGAGGGACUAUUAAUUAAGGCUCCUUUCAGAGUUGCAGAACAUGUUAUGAAUAUUGGCUAAUAAACUGUUUGCAAUCUUA